GCCCACACCAUGUAAUCCACCAGACACACUAUAGCCACUACUUGAGCCUCCAAAUUUACCACCUGCAUGCAAAACCGUCAAGACUGUUUCAAGAGAAGAUUUCUUUGUCACUGGAUGCAACUCUGUUGGAAUCCCACGGCCAUUGUCAGUGAUGCCAACAGAGUUAUCAGCAUGGAGGACCACAUCUAUCUUUGUCGCGAAUCCUGCUUGUGCCUCAUCAACGGCAUUAUCCAAAAUUUCAUAAACCAAAUGGUGGAGACCACGAGGGCCUGUGCUUCCUAUGUACAUUCCUGGUCUUUUUCUGACAGGAUCCAGACCUUCCAAUACCUGAAUUUGCUCAGAACCAUAAGCUUUUGACUUAGUAUUUUCUUGAAAAGCCUCAGUAGUAACGCUUGAUGACAUAAAAGCUCUUGGAGACACCACGUUUCUAAUAAAAAUGCCAUCCGACACCCUUCUCAGCCUAGUAAUCACCCUGGUGUUGAGGAAAAUAGAGGGUGGAGAAAGAAAGGUUGAAGAAAAGGGAAGAGUAUGAGAGUGACAAUGAAGAAGAUAACGAGAAGCCAUGCGACGAAGAGAGUAUUGAAGAGGAAAUGGUUUUAGCAGAGCCAUUCAG
rnacentral:misc_RNA from 1 species